UACGUAGGGACCAAGCGUUGUUCGGAUUUACUGGGCGUAAAGGGCGCGUAGGCGGCUUAACAAGUCACUUGUGAAAUCUCCGGGCUUAACUCGGAGCGGCCAAGUGAAACUGUCAAGCUAGAGUGCAGAAGGGGCAAUCGGAAUUCUUGGUGUAGCGGUGAAAUGCGUAGAUAUCAAGAGGAACACCUGAGGUGAAGACGGGUUGCUGGGCUGACACUGACGCUGAGGCGCGAAAGCCAGGGGAGCAAACGGG
rnacentral:rRNA from 1 species